rnacentral:snRNA from 15 species
AAAAUUCAGACGCUGAGUUCAAGGUGAUCAAGAACAUUCUGGCCCUGGGUGGAAGCUCAUCGUUGCGCCUUGGUGGCUUGAAACUCGCAAAGGACCCUAAUCGGAUGCGCUCGGGUGUGUAGUUUUUGCCAGUGGGAAGGUCUCCCUU